GACGAACGCUGGCGGCGUACUUAACACAUGCAAGUCGAACGGAAAGGCCCUGCUUUUGUGGGGUGCUCGAGUGGCGAACGGGUGAGUAACACGUGAGUAACCUGCCCUUGACUUUGGGAUAACUUCAGGAAACUGGGGCUAAUACCGGAUAGGAGCUCCUGCUGCAUGGUGGGGGUUGGAAAGUUUCGGCGGUUGGGGAUGGACUCGCGGCUUAUCAGCUUGUUGGUGCGGUAGUGGCUUACCAAGGCUUUGACGGGUAGCCGGCCUGAGAGGGUGACCGGCCACAUUGGGACUGAGAUACGGCCCAGACUCCUACGGGAGGCAGCAGUGGGGAAUAUUGCACAAUGGGCGGAAGCCUGAUGCAGCAACGCCGCGUGCGGGAUGACGGCCUUCGGGUUGUAAACCGCUUUCGCCUGUGACGAAGCGUGAGUGACGGUAAUGGGUAAAGAAGCACCGGCUAACUACGUG
rnacentral:rRNA from 1 species